CCUGGGUUUAUGCUCAUUGUUAAAGGCCAUAUAAUAAUCUUUAGUUGCUUAUUUCUGUCAGUUGGUCUUUGGUCCAGUUUUCUCAUCAAGUUAUUAGCCAUCAUACCACAUCAAAAGAUAUUAAUUCAAUAAAUUUUAAAAGAAGCUAAAAUCAAGCCAUCUUGCCAGGAAAUACCCAAACUCACAGCCUAUUGGCUGUCAAAAUUAAAUUAUAUUUCAACAAUAUACUAAAUAAAUAAAUUUUAAAGUUAAUUGUGAACAUAC
rnacentral:lncRNA from 1 species